AUUGAACGCUGGCGGCAUGCCUUACACAUGCAAGUCGAACGGCAGCACGGGAGCAAUCCUGGUGGCGAGUGGCGAACGGGUGAGUAAAGUAUCGGAACGUGCCCAGUCGUGGGGGAUAACGUAGCGAAAGUUACGCUAAUACCGCAUACGAUCUAUGGAUGAAAGCGGGGGAUCGCAAGACCUCGCGCGAUUGGAGCGGCCGAUAUCAGAUUAGGUAGUUGGUGGGGUAAAGGCUCACCAAGCCGACGAUCUGUAGCUGGUCUGAGAGGACGACCAGCCACACUGGGACCGGGACACGGGCCAGACUCCUACGGGAGGAAGCAGUUGGGAAUUUUGGACAAGGGGCGCAAGCCUGAUCCAGCCAUGCCGCGUGCAGGAUGAAGGCUUUCGGGUUGUAAACUGCUUUUGUACGGAACGAAAAGGUUUGACUUAAUACGUUGGACUCAUGACGGUACCGUAAGAAUAAGCACCGGCUAACUACGUGCCAGCAGCCGCGGUAA
rnacentral:rRNA from 1 species